GUGGGUGUGGUGCAUGGUACACAGCUACAUUGCUUUGGGCGUUGCCAGUUGCUUUGAGCAGCAGACCCGGGUUCGACUCCCGGCGCCCGCA